rnacentral:rRNA from 1 species
GACGCUGGCGGAUGCCUUACACAUGCAAGUCGAACGGCACGCGNGGGUGAAACGCUUGCUUUCCUGCCGGCGAGUGGCGAACGGGUGAGUAAUACAUCGGAACGUGCCCUGUAGUGGGGGAUAACUAGUCGAAAGAUUAGUAAUACCGCAUACGACCUGGGACUGAGACACGGCCCAGACUCCUACGGGAGGCAGCAGUGGGGAAUUUUGGACAAUGGGGGCAACCCUGAUCCAGCAAUGCCGCGUGUGUGAAGAAGGCCUUCGGGUUGUAAAGCACUUUUGUCCGGAAAGAAAUCGCACUGGUUAAUACCUGGUGUGGAUGACGGUACCGGAAGACKAARACCGCUAACUAC